rnacentral:lncRNA from 1 species
CACAUUGCUAAAAUAUACUGCUGAAACAUCGCCUUCCCGCGUAGCUUUCUCUUCACAUGGUUUUAGAUGGGCUUCCAGGUGUACGUGAUUAAUGCAAAAAAGCCUUAGAGCAGCUUCACAGGGAGACUGAACUCAGAUCCUCCCCUUCACACUUACUAGGUGCCACAAUUAGGGUUGUAUUUCUUCUCCGCAAAAGUUUUUCUUCUUUGUUUGAAUGCAAAUACCUUUGGAGAAUGAAUGCAGAGUUUCCAUCCCUUAGUAAAAGCUUAACAAAGAAGUUGUCAAACAACUGCCCUUCUAUGGCAUGAUGGCUAG